CUCAAUCUGUUGACCCUCCCCUCUGAAGGCUCUUAGGGCCAGCGGGCCCAGGAGCUCCUAGUCAUGGGAUUUCAUGGACCUAUCACUUUUUAAAAGUUAGGUCUGCUCACUCUGUGUCAUCAAGGACAGACCCAAUGGCCCUAAUACGAACCCACUGCCAUUUGUUAUCUCCAAGCAGCAGAGCUCUCAGCAUCAAGGACUUUCUAAGAAAGGACCAUGGCGAUGGCUUUGUGACCUGCCUGGUCUGACCACGGAUAACUGGCUGAUUCCUCCUCCUGGCAUUCAGGGUUGUACCCCUGUGUUCUGAACUGAGGGCUGGAGAGAGAAAUAAUGAACUCACCAAGCUCUACUGACUGCCUGCUGCUGGCCGC
rnacentral:lncRNA from 1 species